CGCCCCGCAGCCCGGGCGGCCCCGCACGGCACCGCCGACGGAACAGCACCGGGACGGAACCGCGGCACGACGGGAGCGGUGCUGAGCUCUGCGGUGGGGCGUGUGGUGUUGUGGGGAAGCGGCGCAGAUGGAAAGCUGCCGUGUGGAGCCCCACAGGACGAGUUGCAGAGGCCCCUGAAGGAAAAGGAGAAGGAAGGGCAUUUGCAGAGGGAAAGGCUGUCCCGCUGGCCUUAGGUGUUGCUGAACGGGAGGGGUGGCCAAUGCUUUCUCUUUCCACUGCCUCACGGAUGGUGGCAAAUGCCUUCUGGGGGUGGUUCCAGCAGUGGGAAGAAAACAGCUGGCAGCGGAGGGGUAAACCUCUUUGGGCUGCUGAGCUGUGUGCUGAACCAUAAGGAAGGUGGCUGUAAAGGUGUGCCGUGCAGAUGUCGUGUGCCCAGCAGUCGGGCCGAUGAAGAGCAACAAAUGAAGCGCCAGGUGGGUCGAGCUGCCAGAACUGAGGCUUUCUUUAUUUGCCCUUGCU
ensembl:lncRNA